ensembl:lncRNA
CUUUGACUUUCGCCACGUUAAGCCUGAGGACGCCUGGAAAUCCUCCUGCCACUUCUGCACCUCCUCCUCCCGGGUCAACCUUAACUUCAGAUCACCUCAGAGUCUAUCUGACACACCUUGCAGUUUGUAUCAACAACAAGAACGGAUGGGCUGAGCCUGGUUUUCAGAUUUGAGGCGUUUAUUCCAUUUAGCAGACAGGAAUAGCUCCAUAUUCCUAGCCUACACAUUUAAGAUAUCUAGGCUAGUUCCACGGUUGUAAGGAGAGGGGCUGUCAAUAAUACUUCGUAAAUACAUGAGCUGAACAGGCCUUAAGCAGCUCCAAGACAAACACCUUAAGUCUGUCGACAUAAAGAAUCAGAGAAAUGCGUUUGACUAACGUUAUACUCUACAAUUUAAGUUACCUUCUAUGCGAUCGGUCGAUCGCACCCUUCUUUAAUGGAUCGCGCCGACGGUGCAGUCAUGUGACCGAUUUUGGCCUUUUCAGAUUGGAUCAGGGAUUUAACCAACGUGAUAGGAUAAUCU